rnacentral:misc_RNA from 1 species
UUUCGACAAACGUGGCUGAGUGACCGUGGCGCUGGGGUGCGCGUUUUGUUCAUCGAGGACCAUUUAUCGUGGAUUCUGGAGUGAAAUUGCACCAAACUGUUGACUCACAGGAAGCCAGCUGGAGAAAAGAUGCCUCAGGGGGAGGAAACCAUCCCUCAAGAGACAACACCUCUUCUCCGAACAUCAGACAGAUCUGAUGGCUGCUGCUGCUGCCAGUCGCUGGCGCUGGCUCUCCUCACCGCCUGUGUGGUGGUCGUCGUCCUGGCCGGCAUCACCGUCGUCUCGGCGUUCUCCAUCAUCGGCUACCCGUGGCACGCCUCCUGCCAGGCAGACUGGACGUUCGGCAAGCCGUGUCAGGAUGUGAUGACGUCGAUCGUGGACCAGAUGCGCGCCUGGGAGGGCGAGGACGGCUGUGCCGCCGGCGGCGAAAAGUGUCUCUACCAGCUGAUCAGCGCCAGCGGGGACACCGUCACGGGCACCCACACCACACCCGUCUCCCACUACGUGGACGAGCUGACGUUCACCUUCGUCAACGGCUCGGCGACCGGCGCCUGCCGCAUGCAGGGGUACUCGCGCUCCAAGACCUGGUACGCCUACCUGGACAAGGGCACCAACUUCUGUAACAUGAAGAACCUGAUCGUGGGCUCUGGGCUGGACCAGGCCGACCCGAUGUACUCGGAGAAUACCAGCGACAGCGUCUGUACUCAGUACUCUUCGGCCGACUGUGAAAAGUACUGAGGCGGCCCACCUCUAUCGCUAACCCGUGCCGGGGUUCGCUGCGAGGUCUUUGUGGUGUUUCACUAGCGCCAGUGGAGACAAUAUCUAGCGCUUAUAAUGCUUAUGCUUGCCGGCUGAAGUAAGCCUAGUUUUACGAUCAUUACUGACGCUUGGAGGAGUAUAAUAAUACACCUCAGCUAUUUACUCGUAUAGUCAAUCGUGCCAUUUGAUUCGUCACGGUGUGUAUUCGAGGUUCAGUGUGUCUACACUUAGGUACAUAUGAUAGCAUUAUUUCUCUUUUUAGUCUGUUCCCUGCAGAAAAGUAUUAUUUGUGAACCUACAUCUACGUAGGAUUCAACCGUUUUGUUGUACCUCGCUUGUUUUUUCCUCAUGCGAGCGCGACUAGUGUUACCUUCGCUUCGCUUUGUUUCGCCGUGGCUGUGGUGACUAUGGUGAUUGGAUUGUUGGCGUGCUUUACCAGAUGUAGCACGUGUCUGUGAUAUGUGGGACUUCUGUAUAUAAUCAGGCUGCUUCCGCGUCGGAGGCGCAGGCCAGUAUGUAACGAACAAAUAAAAGGUGUCAGGAGAA